rnacentral:miRNA from 1 species
CUGAGCCCCGUUACCCUGCAG